GAGUAAGACAGGCUUGACUUUUCACACAGUCUGAAACAAAUAAAUAGCACAAUAGCGAAGUGAAACAUGCCAUUUAUCUGCAUGCAAACCGGCAAGCUUCUGACUUUAGGAAUGAUUUACAGGAAAUUUUAAUGUAGUCAGCAUGAGUGCGUUAUGGACAGCAAAACUGGGAAUGAAAUUUGGCCUUGAAAAUGAGAAAAAAGGCUUUUCAUUACUGGUUUGUAUUCGGCCAGCCACCCAGCCAGCGCCAAAUCCGGCCCUACAGCAGCUCUGCUGACCCCAGGGCUACACGUCUGCUACACGUCUGCCGAGUGAGCUAACCCGUGGAGAUGAACAAUUCGACCAAACUCAUGUAGGAAACUGGUGCCUGACCCCAGUCCUGGCACCGCCCCGGUUCGCUGGCAGCUGGCGGUGCAGCAGCCAGGAGGAAAUGCUGGGGCUUAAGUGAUUUAACUUGGAGAGCACAGCAGCAAGAAUGAAAUCCACUUACACGGGCUAAUUGAUAAUGAAUGACUCCUUAAUUAGAAAUUAUAGAAAUGCCCCCAAACUUAAGAGGAGAAAUGGGACCAAGGUGUUGAUGAGCUGAGGGGUAUUUUUGUGACUCCGGAUUUUCCUUCAAAGAUGCUCUUGCCAAUUAACUUUUCAUG